UACGUAGGUGGCAAGCGUUGUCCGGAUUUAUUGGGUUUAAAGGGUGCGUAGGUGGUCUAUUAAGUCAGUGCUGAAAUAUCCCGGCUUAACCGGGAGGGUGGCAUUGAUACUGAUGGACUUGAGUAAAGUUGAGGUAGGCGGAAUUGACGGUGUAGCGGUGAAAUGCUUAGAUAUCGUCAAGAACACCGAUAGCGAAGGCAGCUUACUAAGCUUUAACUGACGCUGAGGCACGAAAGUGUGGGGAUCAAGCAGG
rnacentral:rRNA from 1 species